CAGCAGUAACACUCACCAGGGUCCUUAGGAUUUCUUACAGAGAAAAACGAGACCACGUCCCUCUCCGGAUGAACAGUUCCAAUCACUUUUCCCAGCCGCCAGAACAAACAAGACGGCCCGCAGUGUGUCCAGUGAUAACAAGCAGCAGGAAGGAUUGAACGCAGCAGUGCUUUACUUUGCCUCAUGCCUCUUCUCCCGCUGAGAUGCAACUGCAAGUGUGCCUCGUCAGAUGUGAGCAAUCCUUCCUACUCCAUUCAAAAUCCCCCAGUCAAUUACCAAGAAGCUGCAGGUCACAUGAUCUGCCCUGAUCACAAUUGCCAUAUUUGGCCAUCUGUCAGUGGUUUGC